rnacentral:rRNA from 1 species
UACGGAGGGAGCUAGCGUUGUUCGGAAUUACUGGGCGUAAAGCGCACGUAGGCGGCUUUGUAAGUUAGAGGUGAAAGCCCGGAGCUCAACUCCGGAACUGCCUUUAAGACUGCAUCGCUUGAAUCCAGGAGAGGUGAGUGGAAUUCCGAGUGUAGAGGUGAAAUUCGUAGAUAUUCGCAAGAACACCAGUGGCGAAGGCGGCUCACUGGCCCGGUACUGACGCUGAGGUGCGAAAGCGUGGGGAGCAAACAGG